ACGCGAAAGCCCCCUUCGGGGGGCAAGUAGAGUGGCGCACGGGUGAGUAACACGUAGGUAAUCUACCUUUGGAUGGGGAAUAACCACCGGAAACGGUGGCUAAUACCGCAUAAUGCAGCGGCACCUAAUGGUGACAGUUGUUAAAGCGGGGGAUCGCAAGACCUCGCGUCUGAAGAGGAGCCUGCGGCAGAUUAGUUAGUUGGUAAGGUAACGGCUUACCAAGGCGAUGAUCUGUAGCCGGCCUGAGAGGGCGGUCGGCCACACUGACACUGACAUACGGGUCAGACUCCUACGGGAGGCAGCAGUCGGGAAUUUUGGGCAAUGGGCGAAAGCCUGACCCAGCAACGCCGCGUGAAGGAUGAAAUCCCUCGGGAUGUAAACUUCGCAAGAACGGGAAGAAUAAGUAAGGGUUAAUAUCUCUUACGAUGACGGUACCGUUUGUAAGCUCCGGCUAACUCCGUGCCAGCAGCCGCGGUAAUACGGGGGGAGCAAGCGUUG
rnacentral:rRNA from 1 species